CCUACGGGUGGCAGCAGUAGGGAAUCUUCCACAAUGGGCGAAAGCCUGAUGGAGCAACGCCGCGUGGGUGAAGAAGGUCUUCGGAUCGUAAAACCCUGUUGUUAGAGAAGAAAGUGCGUGUGAGUAACUGUUCACGUCUCGACGGUAUCUAACCAGAAAGCCACGGCUAACUACGUGCCAGCAGCCGCGGUAAUACGUAGGUGGCAAGCGUUAUCCGGAAUUAUUGGGCGUAAAGGGAGCGCAGGCGGUUUUUUAAGUCUGAUGUGAAAGCCUUCGGCUUAACCGGGGAAGGGCAUUGGAAACUGGGAGACUUGAGUGCAGAAGAGGAGAGUGGAAUUCCAUGUGUAGCGGUGAAAUGCGCAGAGAUAUGGAGGAACACCAGUGGCGAAGGCGGCUUUCUGGUCUGUAACUGACGCUGAGGUUCGAAAGCGUGGGUAGCAAACAGGAUUAGAUACCCUUGUAGUC
rnacentral:rRNA from 1 species